rnacentral:misc_RNA from 1 species
GGGCAAAAGCUAAAAAUUAUUCACAAGAUAGGGAAUCUACAAAAUCCAAAAGAAAUGAACACCAAAAAAAUCAUUUUUCCUGUGCCAAAAAUAGGAGCUGGAAUUCAACAAAACCUGCUACUACCAAACAAUCCCCAACCAGUAAAUACACAACCUCCCAUAUUUGCAAACUACAAAGUAAAAGCAAGCGUAUAAUGGAUUCAGUCACACUGUUUGCAAGAAAAUUUCAUCUAAAUAUACUAUGCUAGAAAGAGCUACUCCAGACAAGAGAAAAGAAUAC